rnacentral:rRNA from 1 species
GAUGAACGCUGGCGGCGUGCCUAAUACAUGCAAGUCGAGCGAACGGACGAGAAGCUUGCUUCUCUGAUGUUAGCGGCGGACGGGUGAGUAACACGUGGAUAACCUACCUAUAAGACUGGGAUAACUUCGGGAAACCGUAGCUAAUACCGGAUAAUAUUUUGAACCGCAUGGUUCAAAAGUGAAAGACGGUCUUGCUGUCACUUAUAGAUGGAUCCGCGCUGCAUUAGCUAGUUGGUAAGGUAACGGCUUACCAAGGCAACGAUGCAUAGCCGACCUGAGAGGGUGAUCGGCCACACUGGAACUGAGACACGGUCCAGACUCCUACGGGAGGCAGCAGUAGGGAAUCUUCCGCAAUGGGCGAAAGCCUGACGGAGCAACGCCGCGUGAGUGAUGAAGGUCUUCGGAUCGUAAAACUCUGUUAUUAGGGAAGAACAUAUGUGUAAGUAACUGUGCACAUCUUGACGGUACCUAAUCAGAAAGCCACGGCUAACUACGUGCCAGCAGCCGCGGUAAUACGUAGGUGGCAAGCGUUAUCCGGAAUUAUUGGGCGUAAAGCGCGCGUAGGCGGUUUUUUAAGUCUGAUGUGAAAGCCCACGGCUCAACCGUGGAGGGUCAUUGGAAACUGGAAAACUUGAGUGCGGAAGAGGAAAGUGGAAUUCCAUGUGUAGCGGUGAAAUGCGCAGAGAUAUGGAGGAACACCAGUGGCGAAGGCGACUUUCUGGUCUGUAACUGACGCUGAUGUGCGAAAGCGUGGGGAUCAAACAGGAUUAGAUACCCUGGUAGUCCACGCCGUAAACGAUGAGUGCUAAGUGUUAGGGGGUUUCCGCCCCUUAGUGCUGCAGCUAACGCAUUAAGCACUCCGCCUGGGGAGUACGACCGCAAGGUUGAAACUCAAAGGAAUUGACGGGGACCCGCACAAGCGGUGGAGCAUGUGGUUUAAUUCGAAGCAACGCGAAGAACCUUACCAAAUCUUGACAUCCUUUGACAACUCUAGAGAUAGAGCCUUCCCCUUCGGGGGACAAAGUGACAGGUGGUGCAUGGUUGUCGUCAGCUCGUGUCGUGAGAUGUUGGGUUAAGUCCCGCAACGAGCGCAACCCUUAAGCUUAGUUGCCAUCAUUAAGUUGGGCACUCUAAGUUGACUGCCGGUGACAAACCGGAGGAAGGUGGGGAUGACGUCAAAUCAUCAUGCCCCUUAUGAUUUGGGCUACACACGUGCUACAAUGGACAAUACAAAGGGCAGCGAAACCGCGAGGUCAAGCAAAUCCCAUAAAGUUGUUCUCAGUUCGGAUUGUAGUCUGCAACUCGACUACAUGAAGCUGGAAUCGCUAGUAAUCGUAGAUCAGCAUGCUACGGUGAAUACGUUCCCGGGUCU